AACGCACAUUGCACCCCUGGGCAUUCCUUGGGGUAUGCCUGUUCGAGCGUCAUAGGUACCGUCAAGCCCUGCUUGGUGUUGGGCGCCUGUCCCGUCGUAGUCGAGGACUCGCCCUGAAGGUAUUGGCAGUGGUCCUCGCCGGCUCCUCGCGCAGUAGUUUGCGCUCUCAGGGGCACGAGGGGGCACACGUCCACGUAGUCUGCUUUACAGCUUGACCUCGGAUCAGGUAGGGAUACCCGCUGAACUUAA
rnacentral:misc_RNA from 1 species